GAUUAAGUUAUUAAGGGCGCACGGUGGAUGCCUUGGCACUAGAAGCCGAUGAAGGACGUUACUAACGACGAUAUGCUUUGGGGAGCUGUAAGUAAGCUUUGAUCCAGAGAUUUCCGAAUGGGGAAACCCAGCAUGAGUUAUGUCAUGUUAUCGAUAUGUGAAUACAUAGCAUAUCAGAAGGCACACCCGGAGAACUGAAACAUCUUAGUACCCGGAGGAAGAGAAAGAAAAUUCGAUUCCCUUAGUAGCGGCGAGCGAAACGGGAAGAGCCCAAACCAACAAGCUUGCUUGUUGGGGUUGUAGGACACUCUAUACGGAGUUACAAAGGACGACAUUAGACGAAUCAUCUGGAAAGAUGAAUCAAAGAAGGUAAUAAUCCUGUAGUCGAAAAUGUUGUCUCUCUUGAGUGGAUCCUGAGUACGACGGAGCACGUGAAAUUCCGUCGGAAUCUGGGAGGACCAUCUCCUAAGGCUAAAUACUCUCUAGUGACCGAUAGUGAACCAGUACCGUGAGGGAAAGGUGAAAAGCACCCCGGAAGGGGAGUGAAAUAGAACCUGAAACCGUGUGCUUACAAGUAGUCAGAGCCCGUUAAUGGGUGAUGGCGUGCCUUUUGUAGAAUGAACCGGCGAGUUACGAUUUGAUGCAAGGUUAAGCAGUAAAUGUGGAGCCGUAGCGAAAGCGAGUCUGAAUAGGGCGUUUAGUAUUUGGUCGUAGACCCGAAACCAGGUGAUCUACCCUUGGUCAGGUUGAAGUUCAGGUAACACUGAAUGGAGGACCGAACCGACUUACGUUGAAAAGUGAGCGGAUGAACUGAGGGUAGCGGAGAAAUUCCAAUCGAACCUGGAGAUAGCUGGUUCUCUCCGAAAUAGCUUUAGGGCUAGCCUCAAGUGAUGAUUAUUGGAGGUAGAGCACUGUUUGGACGAGGGGCCCCUCUCGGGUUACCGAAUUCAGACAAACUCCGAAUGCCAAUUAAUUUAACUUGGGAGUCAGAACAUGGGUGAUAAGGUCCGUGUUCGAAAGGGAAAUAGCCCAGACCACCAGCUAAGGUCCCAAAAUAUAUGUUAAGUGGAAAAGGAUGUGGCGUUGCCCAGACAACUAGGAUGUUGGCUUAGAAGCAGCCAUCAUUUAAAGAGUGCGUAAUAGCUCACUAGUCGAGUGACACUGCGCCGAAAAUGUACCGGGGCUAAACAUAUUACCGAAGCUGUGGAUUGUCCUUUGGACAAUGGUAGGAGAGCGUUCUAAGGGCGUUGAAGCAUGAUCGUAAGGACAUGUGGAGCGCUUAGAAGUGAGAAUGCCGGUGUGAGUAGCGAAAGACGGGUGAGAAUCCCGUCCACCGAUUGACUAAGGUUUCCAGAGGAAGGCUCGUCCGCUCUGGGUUAGUCGGGUCCUAAGCUGAGGCCGACAGGCGUAGGCGAUGGAUAACAGGUUGAUAUUCCUGUACCACCUAUAAUCGUUUUAAUCGAUGGGGGGACGCAGUAGGAUAGGCGAAGCGUGCGAUUGGAUUGCACGUCUAAGCAGUAAGGCUGAGUAUUAGGCAAAUCCGGUACUCGUUAAGGCUGAGCUGUGAUGGGGAGAAGACAUCGUGUCUUCGAGUCGUUGAUUUCACACUGCCGAGAAAAGCCUCUAGAUAGAAAAUAGGUGCCCGUACCGCAAACCGACACAGGUAGUCAAGAUGAGAAUUCUAAGGUGAGCGAGCGAACUCUCGUUAAGGAACUCGGCAAAAUGACCCCGUAACUUCGGGAGAAGGGGUGCUCUUUAGGGUUAACGCCCAGAAGAGCCGCAGUGAAUAGGCCCAAGCGACUGUUUAUCAAAAACACAGGUCUCUGCUAAACCGUAAGGUGAUGUAUAGGGGCUGACGCCUGCCCGGUGCUGGAAGGUUAAGAGGAGUGGUUAGCUUCUGCGAAGCUACGAAUCGAAGCCCCAGUAAACGGCGGCCGUAACUAUAACGGUCCUAAGGUAGCGAAAUUCCUUGUCGGGUAAGUUCCGACCCGCACGAAAGGCGUAACGAUUUGGGCACUGUCUCAACGAGAGACUCGGUGAAAUCAUAGUACCUGUGAAGAUGCAGGUUACCCGCGACAGGACGGAAAGACCCCGUGGAGCUUUACUGUAGCCUGAUAUUGAAAUUCGGCACAGCUUGUACAGGAUAGGUAGGAGCCUUUGAAACGUGAGCGCUAGCUUACGUGGAGGCGCUGGUGGGAUACUACCCUAGCUGUGUUGGCUUUCUAACCCGCACCACUUAUCGUGGUGGGAGACAGUGUCAGGCGGGCAGUUUGACUGGGGCGGUCGCCUCCUAAAAGGUAACGGAGGCGCUCAAAGGUUCCCUCAGAAUGGUUGGAAAUCAUUCAUAGAGUGUAAAGGCAUAAGGGAGCUUGACUGCGAGACCUACAAGUCGAGCAGGGUCGAAAGACGGACUUAAUGAUCCGGUGGUUCCGCAUGGAAGGGCCAUCGCUCAACGGAUAAAAGCUACCCCGGGGAUAACAGGCUUAUCUCCCCCAAGAGUUCACAUCGACGGGGAGGUUUGGCACCUCGAUGUCGGCUCAUCGCAUCCUGGGGCUGUAGUCGGUCCCAAGGGUUGGGCUGUUCGCCCAUUAAAGCGGUACGCGAGCUGGGUUCAGAACGUCGUGAGACAGUUCGGUCCCUAUCCGUCGUGGGCGUAGGAAAUUUGAGAGGAGCUGUCCUUAGUACGAGAGGACCGGGAUGGACAUACCUCUGGUGUACCAGUUGUCGUGCCAACGGCAUAGCUGGGUAGCUAUGUGUGGACGGGAUAAGUGCUGAAAGCAUCUAAGCAUGAAGCCCCCCUCAAGAUGAGAUUUCCCAACUUCGGUUAUAAGAUCCCUCAAAGAUGAUGAGGUUAAUAGGUUCGAGGUGGAAGCAUGGUGACAUGUGGAGCUGACGAAUACUAAUCGAUCGAAGACUUAAUCAA
rnacentral:rRNA from 1 species